rnacentral:rRNA from 1 species
UACGGGGGGAGCAAGCGUUGUUCGGAUUUACUGGGCGUAAAGGGCGCGUAGGCGGUAGCACAAGUCAGUUGUGAAAUCUCCGGGCUUAACUCGGAAAGGUCAACUGAUACUGUGCGACUAGAGUGCAGAAGGGGCAACUGGAAUUCUCGGUGUAGCGGUGAAAUGCGUAGAUAUCGAGAGGAACACCUGCGGCGAAGGCGGGUCUCUGGGCCGUAACUGACGCUGAGGAGCGAAAGCAUGGGGAGCGAACAGG